GGGAAGCCAUACAUGGCAGUCGACGAAGCGCUACCGACGGAACUUUUCGGAGGGAAGAUGGUAAUGACUGAGUGGCGGACGGGUGAGUAACGCGUGGGUAACCUGCCUCACAGAGGGGGACAACAGCCGGAAACGGCUGCUAAUACCGCAUAACAAGGGAUUGCCGCAUGACGAUCCUUUCAAAGAUUUAUCGCUGUGAGAUGGACCCGCGUCUGAUUAGCUUGUUGGUGGGGUAACGGCCUACCAAGGCGACGAUCAGUAGCCGGCUUGAGAGAGUGAACGGCCACAUUGGGACUGAGACACGGCCCAGACUCCUACGGGAGGCAGCAGUGGGGAAUAUUGCACAAUGGGGGAAACCCUGAUGCAGCGACGCCGCGUGAGUGAAGAAGUAUUUCGGUAUGUAAAGCUCUAUCAGCAGGGAAGAUAAUGACGGUACCUGACUAAGAAGCCCCGGCUAACUACGUGCCAGCAGCCGCGGUAAUACGUAGGGGGCAAGCGUUAUCCGGAUUUACUGGGUGUAAAGGGAGCGUAGGUGGCAGGGCAAGUCGGAUGUGAAAACCCGGGGCUCAACUCCGGGAUUGCAUUUGAAACUGUCCGGCUGGAGUGCAGGAGAGGUAAGUGGAAUUCCUAGUGUAGCGGUGAAAUGCAUAGAUAUUAGGAGGAACACCAGUGGCGAAGGCGGCUUACUGGACUGUAACUGACACUGAGGCUCGAAAGCGUGGGGAGCAAACAGGAUUAGAUACCCUGGUA
rnacentral:rRNA from 1 species